AGUCGGUUCUGCAGCCCCCUGCACUGCUGUCCUGCCCUCACUCCGUGUUGCUGGGAUAUGAGGGCGCGUGCACUUCUGGUCACAGAGCAGGCAACAAAGCAGGGGAGCCGAUUCCAACCUUUGCACGCUGCAUUAUUGUGGGAGACAAUUAAUUAUUUUAUUUUUAUUUUUUUUCAGUAUGGCUGUAAGCGUAACCUCCGCUAGGGGAUGUUUGACCAACUUCCUAACUACCUUUCUACCAAAACUAUUGUGGCGUGAAUUUAGAUGAACUUUUGGAUGGGAAGCAGAGAGCCAACUUGCCAUCAUCCCCCCAAGGACACGUAUGAGCAGCUGGGGGCUGCUGGGGGCGCUGGGGGCUGCGUGUGGCACCGGGCAUUUCUGCAGCACAGUGAAGGUUGAAGCAGCUUGGAGGAUGGUGACGUGGGGAGCCCUGAAGCCAGACAGGCUCAGGAGUGCGCUGUGCAGUGUGUCCUUUCUUCUGGCAGGCUGUGUGUCCUCAGGCAGCCCCUGACCUGACCAGAGGGGCAGCACUACUUGGCCCCUUCUGGAAAGGCUGCCGUGUUCCCUGCUCUGCUGUGCUGCUCGCUGACGUGCUCAUUUCCAGCCUUACACCUAAUGACCUUUGAGGAAGGCUGUGAUGCCAGUCCCGGUGGCCCUUCCAGGCUGAGCAGCUGCUGAAGCAUUCCAUGCUUUGUUCUGAAGGCCAGGAAAGCCCCUCUGUGCUGUGCUGCCCCAGGAACCAGUCGCAGGGAUCCAAAGGCCUGGGAGCCGUGCUGCAAGUUAAGGCCCAGCACUGCUCUGUGCAAGACACAGGUGGUGACUUGCAGCACCCCAUCCUCCCAUGCUCCAGCUCCACAUCCCAGCCCAGCUGCAGACACCUGGCUCUCCUCCCCUCACGCUGAGCUCGCUGCUGACUGCCGUACGCUGCUUUGCUGCAGAUGGCACCUCGUGGUCUUCCAGGUGCCACUGUUUCUCCCCACCCCACGCCUUCCAGCUUUAUGCUUAAGGACUUGUACUUCUGGAAAGAGCAGCCUGCUCCUGCUCCCUGCUGUGUCUGACCACCAGGCGUUCUGCUGCAGGGAGCUGAAUACACGCCAGCAAGCACACCGCUGUCUGUCCCCAACAACCCCGGGCUUCAGCAAACCACAGCACUUUGCCUGCAAGCCUUCAGCUGUCUGUGUGCUGCAAUCCGCCUUUGUGGGAUGGAGGUCAGAUGGGGGGACGGGGUGCAGCAAGGUGGGAGCGGUGAUAACCAUCUCUCUUCUCUUUGCAGGUUCCUUCCCUGCAGGUGGGGGCUCGGUCCUGCCCUGCAGUGCUCAGUCCCAGUCUCACUCUGGGCAGCAGUGCCCAGCGUGCUGGGCUGCCUCUGAGGAGGGAAACGGGGCGGUUAAAGCUUCCCUGAGGGCUGCAGGGAUCUCUGCUUUGACAGGCUUUAACAGAGUCUCCCUGUGGAGUACUGAGCUGUGCUCCACAGACCGGAUUAAGGUUGGUUUGACACGUUUAAUGGCCACAACGGGCACAGAGCAUUCCUCAUCUGCCUGCAGCCCCUGCGACGCCGCGGGACGGCCGGGUAUUGUUGCUGCAGCUGGUGUUGUGAAUCAGGCCGACGGCAAGCGCUUCCUACUAUCCGGCUAUUUCACUACACCAGGGUUGCAUCAUACCACUUCCUUCACCCGCCUCCUGGAGCCUCCGUGCCUCUCCCGGAGCAUCUUGCUGCUGCGCCUGGCCUCUGAUUCCUGAGAGGCUCUGAUCUGUGCCGUCUGGGACAAGUUUGUGUUUUCUGAUGGGAUAAUGAGCUUCUAAAAUAAAGCUGUGGCUUCGA